AAGACCUUGCGCUUUUGGAGCGGCCGAUGUCUGAUUAGCUAGUUGGUGGGGUAAUGGCCUACCAAAGCUUCGAUCAGUAGCUGGUCUGAGAGGACGACCAGCCACACUGGGACUGAGACACGGCCCAGACUCCUACGGGAGGCAGCAGUGGGGAAUUUUGGACAAUGGGCGCAAGCCUGAUCCAGCCAUGCCGCGUGAGUGAAGAAGGCCUUCGGGUUGUAAAGCUCUUUCAGCCGGGACGAAACGGUUACGGUUAAUACCCGUGACUACUGACGGUACCGGAAGAAGAAGCACCGGCUAACUACGUGCCAGCAGCCGCGGUAAUACGUAGGGUGCGAGCGUUAAUCGGAAUUACUGGGCGUAAAGCGUGCGCAGGUGGUUUUGUAAGUCAGAUGUGAAAGCCCCGGGCUCAACCUGGGAACU
rnacentral:rRNA from 1 species